AAUUAAUUUUAUCAAACCCAUGUGUUAUUAUUGUCCAAGCCAAACACAGCCUUAGUUCGUAGAAAGAAACGACGCUGUCGUUUUAGACGCACAACGCCCCCUUUAGAUUCAUUGCGUCCAGUUUAUUUCACUCCUCACGUAUCAUUUUCUAUAGGGUUUUCAUCUUUGAGGUUUCAUUUCAAGCUCCCUUUUUCAAUUCCAGGUUGUCCCCUUGUUAUUAGUUAUGACAAUAAAACCAACAGUUGCAUUUAGGGCCAUCCUUGUUGGAGGCAUAGCGGCAUUCGCUAAAAUAGCAGGUGCAAUGAAGGCUGCAGGUGGCGUAAAGAUGGGUGCGGCCGCAGCUGCCAUGACAGCGGCAGCAACUGCAGCUAUGACCGGUUCAAAACAAGAGCAAACAGAAGUUUCUCAACAGUCUACAAAAUAACUAGCUGUAUCUGUAUCGUUACUCAUCUUUUCUUUUUUCCAUCCGACGUUAUUUGUUGGAAAAUUUAUGUAGCAUAGUUUAAUAUUCGGCUAGUUAAACCGAAAGAUAAGAGGCCAUAAUGCGACUUAUGGCUAGUUAAACCGAAAGAUAAGAGAUCAUAAUGCGAAUUAUAGUUUUCACAAAUGGAAAUGUUUUAACUCUCCAAGUAUUUGUUGUGAGAUUUCAUUAAAUUUGUAAAGUUCCUGAAGAUUUAGAUGAAGUUCUGGAUUUUUUAGACAAAGCUAAA